AGUAGCCCAGCAAGGAAGGUUACUCUAACUUGAGCAUAAUGUGCAUCUAACCUGUGAGAUAGUUACACUAACAUUCUCACUAACGGUUAGGGUAAAGUGAGGCUAAAGUUACGCUAGAAUGACACACUUUUGUUAGGUAUGUUUAUGCGUGGUGCAUAAUUCCAUCUAACCUGUUACACUCACGUUACAUCAACGUUAGAUAUGUUUCGCUUUGGGCGGUUAGGCAGCGGUUAGGGUUGUUUCAAAAGGGUUUUCAUGUUGAUUUAUUUACACCCAGCUGUCAUCGGAGGCAGAAUAUAUAUGUACUAGUGAAUGUACAUAUACAUAACUGCCUCGAAUGGCAGUUGGAUGUAAAUAAAUUAUUAAUCAAAAUCUUCGGGAACAUUUCCCACAUAUUUUAAUUGAUUGAUUAACAUCCAACAAAAUAAAUACAAUAUAUUAUAUUAAGACUCCAUCUGCCGUUCUUUCCAUCCCAAUGCGGCUAUUUUCUUUCGCGCCGGAACAGUCUGUUCAUCGCAUGUCCACUUCCGAAGGAAACUAUCAACAGAGCGGCGAUCAAUGCGGCUCUUCGAGUGGUAAUGAAGAGCAGGAAUAGGGCUAGGGCAUGCAGUGAAGUAUUUCGGUCAUCGUCCGGAGCUCAGAAGAUUGACGUUUGGAAAUAUGCCCUCAUGAUCCGGAAUCGGCCUAUCUUUGUCUGGCCUCUUGCAAGGCAGUACGAAUGACUAAUGUAGCAAUGCAAAUCAAAUAAAACUAACCAAAUAUCUCAAAUUAAAGGAAA